GGUUCAGCUUCCCCUGUGAGAAGGACACAUAUAACAAUAAGAAAUUAAGGGUUCGGGAAGGAGAGGGGCCACCCUGUGCUCACCCCCACACAGCCCUGCAGGAAAACCCAGUGAACGGUGCCCAGGUGCCUGGCUGACUCCUGGGCCGGGAGGGGACAUGGAGGGACAGUGGCCAUCAGGCUCUUUGUGGACACUGGGGAUUAACUACUGCUCGUUCUCAGCUCACUGGUGUCCAGCCCAUCAAUAACCUCAUCAAUAACCUAACUUUGGUCAAUUAGGUUGGAGUCCGAAGGUGACUGAUUUGCGGCAAGGUUUUCUCUCUUCCUCUGUAAAGUGGAGUCCUUCAUCAUUCAUCGCAAGUAGACAACUCGCUUCCUAAUGCCUCUGCAUUAAGGAGCCAGGCGCUGCAGCUCUUUGCCCUGGGUUCUGGGACCUUUGGAAACCGCUUUGGACGAAGCUGAGCAUCUCUUUCCCCACGCUGACCUCCCCCAUAGACUCCGGAUGGGAGUAAAUGAGGCUCCUGGGAAAUCCAGAAACUCUAGAGAAGCUUGUUUGCCAAACCUUGCUUUGGGCGGUGGAGACAGAAUAUCAUGUCCCAGAUCAGCGUGUGGUGACUGUGGAGGCAUUUACACACAGCACACUCCAGCUCUGCCACUGGGCCGGCUGAGGUGGCUGCGGUACACGGCGCCCAUCCUGAGCCCCAGGUUCCUCACAUGUCAACAGCAUGAAAAGUGCCUCUAAGACAUCCACAGGUGUGCAGUGUUAAAGCAGGCAGCGCCUCAGCUUGGUUAGCUCCCUUAAGGACUGCGGCUCCCUUAGGACAAGGCUCUGUCCCUCAGAGCACUGAGUGCGAUCUCAUGCUGGCAUCUUAGAGACAUUGUAUUCACCAGGAUUCUGCCAUGAUUGCCACCUCUGGAGACGUCACAGCCAGCACAGCCAUGACCAGGGAUGAACUUGGCCAUUGUCCAGCAGCACCAUGGGAGGACCAGCUGCUGUAAGUGAAGGUCAUCAUCCAUCUGAUUUGCUGGCUUUUUGCAACUACUGCGGUGGAAGUCUUAGAGUAGCCACCUUCUCUGUACUCAGACCUUCACUUCGCCAGAUGUCAGCACAGCAGUGUCAGCAGCUUCGUCAAACACAAACACCACCACCUCUCUGGAUCAGAAGCACAUGGAAAGCCCACCUUGCAAGAAGACCCAGCUAUUCCAAAAGUACCCAUAUCCCUGUAGCAUCCUCUUAGCUGAAUGUCUCUACUCCUUAAACUUGUACCACUUUGAAGAGUAAAAAUUUAAAUUCAUUCAUAUUAUCAUUUUUUAGUUUUUAGUAUAAGUGGAGCUGUUUAUCGGCCAUUUGUAUGUCCUUUUCUUUUUUUUGCAAAUUACUCCUUUGCCAAAUUUUCUCUCAAAUGACUCAUCUUUUUCUUAUUGAUUUGCAGAAGCUAUUUACAUAUUAUGGAUGUGGGGUGUCUAACAUACACAGCAAAUACUUUGUCCCAGUGUGUCACUUUUUAAAAAAAUUCUUAUAAUGUCUUUCAUCUUUAAAAAAUUAUUAAGCUAUUGUGAGCUUUUAUGCCUUUUCAGUUUAUUUUCUUACAUAGAUAAUUAUAUGAAGUGCAAAUAGGGGCAGUGUUAGUCUCAUCUUCCCAAGGCUGCACCUCAGAUGUGGAAUGUUGACAGCAACAUCUGUUACCUUGUUUCUGUUUUUAGGAUUUUAGCGUUAAGGCCAGGCAUAAUGGUUCAUGCCUGUAAUUCCAGCACUUUGGGAGGCCGAGGUGGGCAGAUCACUUGAAGCCAGGAGUUCAAGACCAGCCUGGCCAACAUGGAGAAACCCUCUCUAUUUUUAAAUACAUUUAAAAUGUUAACAAUUAAAACAAAAUAUUUUACCGUUAGUAUGAUGCUUGAUACAGGAUUUCUGGUACAUACGCCUUAUCAAAUUAAAUAAGUUUCCUUUUACUCUUGUUUAUUGUUAUUUUUUAAAAUAAGGAAUGAAUCUUGGAUUUUAGUGUAUCAAUAAUUAUAUUUUAUUCUUUAACUUCAUAAUAUUCCUUAUAAUUCCUUAUGUCAUAUUAAAGAUGUAAAUUCAUAUAUAUUUUAUCAUACAAAUGAUUAAUAAAUGUAUAAGCAUGUCA
ensembl:lncRNA LINC01018 long intergenic non-protein coding RNA 1018